GCACUCAUGAGGUGCCUGACAUCGGAUCAGCCAGCGGUGCGGUCGUCAGAUUCGGGACUUAAUGCGAUGGGAAUCCACUCCUUUCGCCCGACGCUGCCGCCCAUACAAAGACAUUAGCCAGCGCACCAUCCGACUCAGGAGUGGAGGGGGGAAACUAUUGGGGUAUACCGACCGACUCCACUCACGCCGACUCACCGUCGGGCCUACAUGACCGGCGCCCGACUCUGCUGACCGACGGCAGCCGUCGCCGACCGACCGAAUAUACGUCGGUCGGGCAGACCUUCUUCGCUCUCGAUCGACCGAACUAUGGAGCCCGAUGCCCGACUCCCACAAUGCGCCCG
rnacentral:lncRNA from 1 species